rnacentral:rRNA from 1 species
GAUGAACGCUGGCGGCGUGCCUAAUACAUGCAAGUCGAGCGAAUGGAUUAAGAGCUUGCUCUUAUGAAGUUAGCGGCGGACGGGUGAGUAACACGUGGGUAACCUGCCCAUAAGACUGGGAUAACUCCGGGAAACCGGGGCUAAUACCGGAUAACAUAUUGAACCGCAUGGUUCGAAAUUGAAAGGCGGCUUCGGCUGUCACUUAUGGAUGGACCCGCGUCGCAUUAGCUAGUUGGUGAGGUAACGGCUCACCAAGGCAACGAUGCGUAGCCGACCUGAGAGGGUGCUCGGCCACACUGGGACUGAGACACGGCCCAGACUCCUACGGGAGGCAGCAGUAGGGAAUCUUCCGCAAUGGACGAAAGUCUGACGGAGCAACGCCGCGUGAGUGAUGAAGGCUUUCGGGUCGUAAAACUCUGUUGUUAGGGAAGAACAAGUGCUGGUUGAAUAAGCUGGCACCUUGACGGUACCUAACCAGAAAGCCACGGCUAACUACGUGCCAGCCGCCGCGGUAA